GAUAUUCUCCUAAUGCUAAGUGACCGCCUAAGUCUUGAAUGCCAUGAAAGAAGCAGCUGAUGCUAAUAUACAAGUACUACACCAUAUGCAGGAUUUGGCUUGGACCUUGUCUGGCUGCAACUACACCAAAGGGCACAACUGUUGCAUUACAACAUUUUCGCUGCAAGCAGAAGUUGCUUACUGUAUUGCUCUGAAUGGUUGAGAUGAAAGCAGUGGUUCUACAGAACUGGUCAGAACCUGCUGAAUACCACCUCUGGAUGACAGGUAGCAUUUUCUAUUGGUGGAAUCUUCACUUAUUUGACAAUCUUCUUUUGGGACAGCCUUCGCUUUCAUUUUUAUACAUAUGGUAAAUUGAGCAAUUAAGACCUACUUAACUGAAGAGAAAUGAUCAAGGGAAAUAAGAAAGAAAAUGAAAGAACCACGUCCACAGUACCUGCUGCUGCUGAAAAUGGAGGAGUUCCACUGGGCUCAUUUCUCCAUUAGUUUCUCCACUGGCUCCUCCCUCUCUUCCACAUCCUCCUCCACCGCCACCGCCUCCUCCUCCUCCAUCAGUUUGAUUGUUUAGGCUGCUGACACCAUUUUGACCGGAGGGAGUAGAACGUAUUGUCUCUGAGGCUGAUUCAACCAUCAUGACUUGCUAGCAGCACCUUUAUAAAGAAAGAAUAACAAGAUAUCUCAACAAUGAUAUGAGCUGCAGGUUCUAAAUUAUGCUUGAGGAUAACAUUAUAAUAAGUGAUGUUUCAUUCCUUUGUCUUCUUUGCAAAGGACAUUUGCAGUUGUAUUUCAGAGAAUAAGAUUUAUACACUGACUUUUUGAGUUUAAAAUAUAGUUUUUUGAACCAUUUGCUAAUAAAACCAUUACCAAUCAAAUACA